GUGAUGCUAAAGGGGGAAGGUCAUUUGUAGCCAGUCCUCACAGGAGACAGGGAUUCAAAUGACCGAAUCCUCCGGAAGAGUGGAUCAUCCCAGAACAAGAUCUGCGUCACCACAGAAUCUACGCUGUUGUCUGGCUGAUGUCUCUUCCCAAGAAUGUUCGGCUUAGAAUAACACGAAAAUAAAUUUACUCUCUCUGAGGAUAAACCACCUAACCAUAAGAAAAGGGAAGGGAACUUAAUUACUGAGGUCUCUGUUUUCAAUCGAAACGUGGAAGGCCCAGAAAGCAGAGGGCACCAGACAGAUUUCCUGAGAGGAAAGAGCAUCGUGGGUCUCAGCACCCUCUCUCUGCAACCUCUCUCAGAAUCUCCUUCAGCUCAGCCCAAUAAACUAAACCCCUGGGAUCUCAUGUCAGCCAUUCUGACCCCAAGGCUGGAACUGCCCCUGUGAUGUCAUUGGUGCUUUCCCCAAAGUCGUCGACACUGAGGCCUCCGGGAGCUGCCAGGUCUGUGCAGAGGAGAAAGUGAGACAGCUGCUCACGGCAGAAGUUUUUAUAAGCUAGGAGAACAUUAAAGGAAAUAAAAUCACCUGACCACACAUCCCCCUCUUUCUGGGCUGGAGCCAACAGUAAUAGGCCGCACUGCUUUCACAAGCUACUGGAAUUUACCAUUCCAGGAAAUCAGCCCCAGGGCCUGUCUCCUAGGAUUUAAUAAGUCAUUUAUUAUAGAAUAAACAUAUGAGGCUUUUCAAAUGGAAUAAGGAAACCGGGAGGUGAGCAAAACCCUGAACUUGUCCUCUGACUGUGGCUCGGAACCAGUAGGAGAAGCCUGGGAUUUGCCACUUACUUCGAGAACUGCUCCAUGAAGCGGUCCCGGUGGCCUUGCAGGGUGUCAGCUGGGAGACCUGGAAGAUAUUGGAAUAGAGUGAGAGGGAAGAGGACCACAGGAGGACCAGUGCAAGCUAUUCUGGGCACAGUGGGCUGGAAGUUGUGUCCCUGACCACAGAAGCGACCGUGGUUGACCUGACCAAGCUGCGGGACGGAAGGGAUCCAGAGAGCCUGCCUGAGAGGUUGGCUGUGCGAAGGCAAAGAUUGCGGACGACACUCAGGAUCUCAGUCCGGUGCUCGUUCGGCCCUGCCACUGCAUGAUGCUGGACGAGUGGCAGCAUCGAAGCGCCGGCCUCCGCCCCUACAGAGCGGGCUCUCUGAGGUCCUUUCUGCUCCCAGAUUAUGUCACUCCGUGUACUUCAACCACAGAUCACAGCUCAGCGAUCCUUUUAGUUCUUGCUUUAUUCCUUAAAUUUACAUUUUAGUAAUUUUUGGGUAGGUGAUGUUUGGUAUAAAUAGGGAACACAUGCAAAAUGUAUGAGAAUUCGGAAUGCCAAGUAUAAACGGUGGACGAUGGCACUGUACCUCCGUGAUCUCUCUCCCAAGAACCCUUAGCCCCAGUCGUGAGAAAAACAGCGGACAGACUUGAAUUGAGGAACAUUCUACAAGUGUCGGACCGAUUCUCCCCUAAACCGUCAAGGUCACAAGUCUGAGACACUGUCACGGCCAAGAGGAGCCUAGGGGGACACAAAGACUAAUACAAUGUGGCGUCCUGGAUGGCACAUGAGGUAAAAACUGGGGAAAUCUGAAUAAAAUCUGGACUUCAGUUGAGAGUCGUGUGUCAAUAUUGGUCCAUUAAGUGUGACAAAUGUACCAUACUCAUGAAAGAUCUUAACAACAGAGGAAACUCGCUUCAAGGUAUAGGGGCACUUCCUGAACUAUCUUUACAACUUUUCUGUAGAUCUAAAACUAUUCUAAAAUCAAACAUUCAUUUUUAGAGAAGUAUAUACUCUGUGGGGCAACUGCGUUUCUUCUCUUGGCAUUCAGUCCACCCUGUGCCCCUCCAGGGGCGUCCACUUGCCUCGACGCCUUUCUAACGCUUGAACGUCGAAUUUCCAACCUCCCUUCCUCACACUGUUCCCAGACUAACCAGACUGAAUGUCGCUUUUCCCGUCCCGUCUGAAUCACCAGAUCCGCAUCUCGUCAGUGACCACAGUUCUAGAGUGAUCCCUUGUCCUUGUCUUCUAAAAUUCAUCCUGUCCCC